UUUUCACCUGGUUAUCGUCGAAGAUUAAAUUUAAAUUGAUUGCUGAGGAUACUAAAUUUAGAAGAGUGCAAUUCUCAAACCGUAUUAAAGAUGCUUUGUCAAGAAAUAAAGUAGUAAGGGAAAGAGUGUUUCCAGUUUGCUUUCCUUCAAAAAGUUCUUAUACUGGUCAUUUUACUAGAGAUUUUGUUAUUUUCACUGGAUUUUAUUGCUAUGUGUUAUUGUUGUGAUGUUUUGUGUUGAUAGUCAGCUUGGCUUACCUUCCCGUUGGCGUCUAUUGUUAAAAAUGAAUCAUAGGUAGUUUAUUGGUAGGUACAUUAUGGGAAUAGGUAGGUACAUUAUUGGUAGGUACAUUAUUGGAAAAGGUAGGUACAUUAUUGGAAUUUACUGCUUU
rnacentral:lncRNA from 1 species